GACGAACGCUGGCGGCGUGCUUAACACAUGCAAGUCGAACGAAGAGCGAUGGAAGCUUGCUUCUAUCAAUCUUAGUGGCGAACGGGUGAGUAACGCGUAAUCAACCUGCCCUUCAGAGGGGGACAACAGUUGGAAACGACUGCUAAUACCGCAUACGAUCUAAUCUCGGCAUCGAGGAUAGAUGAAAGGUGGCCCCUACAUGUAAGCUAUCACUGAAGGAGGGGAUUGCGUCUGAUUAGCUAGUUGGGGGGGUAACGGCCCACCAAGGCGAUGAUCAGUAGCCGGUCUGAGAGGAUGAACGGCCACAUUGGGACUGAGACACGGCCCAGACUCCUACGGGAGGCAGCAGUGGGGAAUCUUCCGCAAUAGACGAAAGUCUGACGGAGCAACGCCGCGUGAGUGAUGACGGCCUUCGGGUUGUAAAGCUCUGUUAAUCGGGACGAAAGGCCUUCUUGCGAAUAGUGAGAAGGAUUGACGGUACCGGAAUAGAAAGCCACGGCUAACUACGUG
rnacentral:rRNA from 1 species